rnacentral:tRNA from 1 species
GGUAAAAUGGCCAAGGAUAAGCAUUGAACUAUAAAUUCAAAGACAGAGACUAGAUAUCUCUUUUUACCA